UCCCACUAGAGCCAUGUAAAUUGACUUCCUAAUGUGCUAUUCUCUGAUCCAAGACAUGCUACGCGAUAUGGGUAUGAAGGUGAGUUGAUAGGAAUCGGUCUUACCAUUGAGGGUUGUGCAGAGAUCCCUGCCCAUGGGGAUGUUCGGGCCACGGCGAACACUAUUGCUCCGGUGAGCAAUCCUCCUUCCUAUCGCCGACCGAGCACCUGGGGGCCACGAAAGCGAUCGGGAGCCCCCGCGACUCCACCAGGUGCAUCCUUAGGGCCACGACGACCACAUAAAUAUCAUCGAGCUCACGACAGAUCUCCGUGACGGACUCUCGAUAUUGGCGAUAAAUCAUCACCGAUUCAACCAUCUGUGCGCCCAAAAUUACCCGCACACCUCCUCCAAUUUGCUUCCCUUCCACCAUGAGACCAGAGCGAUGAUGGGUGCGCGCAUGACGUCGAUGGCUUCAUCUUCUCCUUCACCGUUUGUUUGUAUCGCUACGUCGAUGCAGCUGGUGAUGGUUUUGACUACUGCAGCGGCUCAUGACGGGCAUGCAGAGAUCCGAGGGUCGUCGCAUUGAUCAGAUUUUAUACCCCGAGGAGAAGACCGAGGCGGAUGAUCGGCCGGCUAACACGACGAGGUUGUUAUAGGAUGGAAGGGAUGAGCCUGAUGAACCUGGCUCCAUUAUUAGUGAUCAGACUCCAUUGCGUGCGCGCGAGUGUAACUGGACAAUAGGCCCCCCUUGUCUGUCCUUAUCAAUGGACGGCUGACGCGCGGGCCUGCGAGGCAGAGAGACAUUGCCUCCUGACCAGCGCCUGGGAAGUGGACUGGGCUGGCGACAGUAUGAGGUGAAAGUUUGCUGGGAGCAGAGGUUUCGACCCAAGAGGCUG
rnacentral:lncRNA from 7 species